GAUGAAGAACGCAGCGAAAUGCGAUAAGUAAUGUGAAUUGCAGAACUCAGUGAAUCAUCGAAUCUUUGAACGCACAUUGCGCCCUCUGGUAUUCCGGGGGGCAUGCCUGUUCGAGCGUCAUUAUAACCACUCAAGCUCUCGCUUGGUAUUGGGGUUCGCGGUUUCGCGGCCCCUAAAAUCAGUGGCGGUGCCUGUCGGCUCUACGCGUAGUAAUACUCCUCGCGAUUGAGUCCGGUAGGUCUACUUGCCAGCAACCCCUAAUUUUUUUUAAGGUUGACCUCGGAUCAGGUAGGGAUACCCGCUGAACUUAAGCAUAUCAAUAAGCGGAGGA
rnacentral:misc_RNA from 1 species